UACGGAGGGCGCAAGCGUUGUUCGGAAUCACUGGGCGUAAAGCGCGUGUAGGCGGCCGGGCAAGUCGGAUGUGAAAUCCCGAGGCUCAACCUCGGAACUGCACUCGAAACUGCUCGGCUCGAGUCCCGGAGAGGAUGGCGGAAUUCCCGGUGUAGAGGUGAAAUUCGUAGAUAUCGGGAGGAACACCAGUGGCGAAGGCGGCCCUCUGGACGGUGACUGACGCUGAGAUGCGAAAGCGUGGGGAGCAAAUAGG
rnacentral:rRNA from 1 species